AUUGCGACGUAGACCCGUAGCA
rnacentral:miRNA from 1 species